rnacentral:rRNA from 1 species
UACGAAGGGUGCAAGCGUUACUCGGAAUUACUGGGCGUAAAGCGUGCGUAGGCGGUUUGUUAAGUCCGCUGUGAAAGCCCUGGGCUCAACCUGGGAAUUGCAGUGGAUACUGGCAAGCUAGAGUGCGGUAGAGGAUGGUGGAAUUCCCGGUGUAGCGGUGAAAUGCGUAGAGAUCGGGAGGAACACCCGUGGCGAAAGCGGCUCACUGGACCACAACUGACGCUGAUGCACGAAAGCUAGGGGAGCAAACAGG